CUGGCCUCUUAUGACAGCACUUUCCACAAAAUCGCCUUGCAUUCCACAGAAAGUAUUUCUUAUGCAUCAGAAAGAUAUUUGACACUCUUCAUCUCACUAACUGUCCCCUUGCUGUUGGACAGGUAUCAUUUUUGUUUGAGCCAGUUCACCAAAACCCCCUUGGUUACGAGUUUGAUGAGGAGGAGUAAUAGUGAUGAGACAAGCGAGCAAAAAAGGGAAACAAGUUGGCAGCAAAAAGAAGGACAUUCACCAGGAAUAGAGCAGAUGCGUCUUCAUGUUUCACAUCAUGCAUGUUUUACACUGGAAGCCUGUUUUCCU
rnacentral:lncRNA from 1 species